rnacentral:rRNA from 1 species
AUUGAACGCUGGCGGCAUGCCUUACACAUGCAAGUCGAACGGCAGCACGGGUGCUUGCACCUGGUGGCGAGUGGCGAACGGGUGAGUAAUACAUCGGAACGUACCUUAUCGUGGGGGAUAACGCAGCGAAAGUUGCGCUAAUACCGCAUACGCCCUGAGGGGGAAAGCGGGGGACCGUAAGGCCUCGCGCGAUUAGAGCGGCCGAUGUCUGAUUAGCUUGUUGGUGAGGUAAAAGCUCACCAAGGCGAUGAUCAGUAGUUGGUCUGAGAGGACGAUCAGCCACACUGGGACUGAGACACGGCCCAGACUCCUACGGGAGGCAGCAGUGGGGAAUUUUGGACAAUGGGGGCAACCCUGAUCCAGCAAUGCCGCGUGAGUGAAGAAGGCCUUCGGGUUGUAAAGCUCUUUUGUCAGGGAAGAGACAGCAGCUCUAACACAGUCUGCGAAUGACGGUACCUGAAGAAUAAGCACCGGCUAACUACGUGCCAGCCGCCGCAGUAA